CACAAGCGAUCGGUCGACUCAGCAUUUGAUCUUCCAAUUAAAGCAUUUGGCCGUGAAAUUAAUUUAAAACUUGUUCAAUCUAAAGGAAUUCUCGCCGGACCAAAAACUCCUGUUUAUUUAGCACACUCUGCUACAAACAUUGAGAAAAGAUUAGGCUACUUUAGUUCAAAUAUGCGAUCACAACUUUAUGAAGACGAAGAACAUUUAGCAGCAUUCACAAUCGAUGAGUUCGAGAAUGGGUCACCUCAAAUAAAAUACGGAUACAUUGGCUCUGAAAAUAUAAUUAUUGAUCCAGCAAAUCCGAAUUCUAACAGUUCGGAAGAUGAGAAUCUUUACUUAGCUAAAUGUUCACUUGAAGAAAUCUAUGAAGCAAUUGUAUGGU